rnacentral:lncRNA from 1 species
UUUCGUCCCAACUUUCAACAGUACAUUGUCUGCAGCCAAUAUAUUUAUCAAAAGAAAAGCAAAAUAUCCGAAGAUCCACUACCAACAACAAGUUGAUUGGAAGCGCGGCACAUCGAAGUAUCAAGCCACCUGAUACAUCUUUACUAAACCAAAAGUUCACAACCAAAACUGUCUAAACAUCGACUUUGCAAGUCGACAUUCAAAAUCAGAUCAACUUUGAACCAACU